rnacentral:rRNA from 1 species
GUCGAGGGGUAAAUGGUAGCAAUACUAUGAGACCGGCGGACGGGUGCGUAACGCGUAUGCAACAUACCUUGUGCAGGGGGAUAGCCCGUGGAAACGCGGAUUAAUAUUCCAUAGUCCAGCUAUAUCGCAUGGUAUAGUUGGUAAAGAUUUAUCGGCACAAGUUUGGCAUGCGUCUGAUUAGCUUGUUGGUAGGGUAACGGCCUACCAAGGCUACGAUCAGUAGGGGUUCUGAGAGGAUUAACCCCCACACUGGUACUGAGACACGGACCAGACUCCUACGGGAGGCAGCAGUGAGGAAUAUUGGUCAAUGGGCGGAAGCCUGAACCAGCCAUCCCGCGUGAAGGAAGACAGCCUUACGGGUUGUAAACUUCUUUUCUGUCAGAAGAAUAAGCUUGUCGAGACGAGUGAUGCCGGUAUGACAGGAAUAAGCAUCGGCUAACUCCGUGCCAGCAGCCGCGGUAAUACGGAGGAUGCAAGCGUUAUCCGGAUUUAUUGGGUUUAAAGGGUGCGCAGGUUGUUUGAUAAGUCAGUGGUGAAAGUCUGUCGCUUAACGGUAGGAUUGCCAUUGAUACUGUUGGACUUGAAUAUGGAUGAGGUAGGCGGAAUGUGUAGUGUAGCGGUGAAAUGCAUAGAUAUUACACAGAAACACCGAUUGCGA